rnacentral:rRNA from 1 species
AUUGAACGCUGGCGGCAGGCUUAACACAUGCAAGUCGAGCGAGCGGCGGACGGGUGAGUAAGGUCUGGGAAACUGCCUGAUGGAGGGGGAUAACUACUGGAACAGGUAGCUAAUACCGCAUACCAUCAGAUGGGCCCAGAUGGGAUUAGCUAGUAGGGGGGGUAAUGGCUCACCUAGGCGACGAUCCCUAGCUGGUCUGAGAGGAUAACCCGCCACACUGGAACUGAGCCACGGCCCAGACUCCUACGUGAGGCAGCAGUGGGGAAUAUUGCACAAUGGGCGCAAGCCUGAUGCAGCCAUGCCGCGUGUGUGAAGAAGGCCUUCGGGUUGUAAAGCACUUUCAUCGAGGAGGCGUUACUCGCAGAAGAAGCACCGGCUAACUCCGUGCCAGCAGCCGCGGUAAUUC